rnacentral:lncRNA from 1 species
AACCUAGGUAAUUUACAAGUAGAUGUGGAGGAAAUGUUUAUUUUGAAAUGCAGCUUCCCCUAGGGUGGAAUUCGCUGGCUCUCUGGCUCACUCACUUAACAGUGGACAGCUGUUUAUAACAGGAAGUGUGGAAUUGCAUGUCUCAGUGAAAUGGCAGGAAGACAGAGGGAGGAGGACUCCUAAUUAUCAAACUUGGAAUUGGGCCAAGACAAUGAAAAUCAGCGUCUCCUCCCUUUAAUUCUUUCACAAGCCCUAGGAGACUUUUAAUAACCACAAGUGGUCAGGAGUCAGAUGUUGGGUUUAGAUCUCAUCCAAAAGGCAUCCUAGUGCCCCAGACAACAUGCUGUGGCUAAGUGCGACUCAAAGGGAAGGGCGUCCCUCCCAUGAAUCCGACGUGGCCCAGUGAAGCAGGGUUUCUUGAGAUCUAUUUGUAAGUGUGUUGGUAAUCAGACCCACUUCUACCUUGGUGGAAAUAAAAUU